CGGGAGGGCGUCUGCGCCUGCGCGCUGCGGCCGUUCUCCCGCCGCGUGGGGUCCGGCGGGCGGUCCGGGGGACGGUUCCCGGACCUGAGCGAAGGCGGGGAAGCUUCUCACCAUCUCUCCUGCCAGAAUGUGAGGCAGGGACCCCAAGUGCCAAGGACACUGGCUGGAGCUUGAUAGGUGCUCACAAGAUGUUAAUGAAUGACUCUUACAUAAGGUGUCUAAUCGCUCCUGCACCAUCUGUUGGAAAGCCAUCCUUGUCCCUGUUGGAAUGCUCUUGCCAAAACUCCAUCAAGCACAUUUGUUUUCCUUCGAUUUUCUCUGUUCUGCUUCAUUGAUCUACGAUUCUAUCCCCCACCAAGACCAUGCUCUGUUGUUACUAUAUGGGAAACCUUAAUUUUGUGUAGACCAACUCCUCUGACUUUAUUCGGCUUUAUUCUAGGUUCUGUGUCUUUCCAUAUCAAUUCAAAAAUAAGCUUGUCUCUGUCCAGAAAACUUGCUGGGAUUUUUGAAUAGGAAUUGCAUUAAAUCCAUAGAUCAGUUUGGGGAGAAUUAACAUCUUUUACCACA